UACGGUAGGGACCAAGCGUUGUCCGGAAUCAUUGGGCGUAAAGCGCGCGUAGGUGGCCAUUUAAGUCCGCUGUGAAAAGUCAGAGGCUCAACCUUUGAAAGCCGGUGGAUACUGGAUGGCUAGAGUACGGAAGAGGCGAGUGGAAUUCCUGGUGUAGCGGUGGAAUGCGCAGAUAUCAGGAGGAACACCAAUAGCGAAGGCAGCUCGCUGGGACGUUACUGACACUAAGGCGCGAAAGCGUGGGGAGCGAACAGG
rnacentral:rRNA from 1 species